rnacentral:sRNA from 1 species
GCUGGGUGCAGUGAUGUGCAUCUGUAAUCCCAGCGGCUUGGGAGGCUGAGGCAGGAGGAUCACGAGUUCGAAGCCAGCCUCAGCAACAUAGUGAGACCCUCAGCAACUUAGAGAGACCCUGUCUCUA